UGCAGUCGAGCGGUAACAGGGGGAGCUUGCUCCCCGCUGACGAGCGGCGGACGGGUGAGUAAUGCAUAGGAAACUGCCCAGUAGUGGGGGAUAGCCCGGGGAAACCCGGAUUAAUACCGCAUACGCCCUUUGGGGGAAAGCAGGGGAUCUUCGGACCUUGCGCUAUUGGAUGUGCCUAUGUCGGAUUAGCUAGUUGGUGGGGUAAGAGCCUACCAAGGCGACGAUCCGUAGCUGGUCUGAGAGGAUGAUCAGCCACAUCGGGACUGAGACACGGCCCGAACUCCUACGGGAGGCAGCAGUGGGGAAUAUUGGACAAUGGGGGCAACCCUGAUCCAGCCAUGCCGCGUGUGUGAAGAAGGCUUUCGGGUUGUAAAGCACUUUCAGUGAGGAGGAAAACCUUACGAUUAAUACUCGUGAAGCUUGACGUUACUCACAGAAGAAGCACCGGCUAACUCCGUGCCAGCAGCCGCGGUAAUACGGAGGGUGCAAGCGUUAAUCGGAAUUACUGGGCGUAAAGCGCGCGUAGGUGGUUUGAUAAGCGAGAUGUGAAAGCCCCGGGCUCAACCUGGGAACGGCAUUUCGAACUGUCAGGCUAGAGUAUGGUAGAGGAGUGUGGAAUUUCCUGUGUAGCGGUGAAAUGCGUAGAUAUAGGAAGGAACACCAGUGGCGAAGGCGGCACUCUGGACCAAUACUGACACUGAGGUGCGAAAGCGUGGGGGAGCAAACAGGAUUAGAUACCCUGGUAGUCCACGCUGUAAACGAUGUCAACUAGCCGUUGGGACUCUUGAAGUCUUAGUGGCGCAGCUAACGCACUAAGUUGACCGCCUGGGGAGUACGGCCGCAAGGUUAAAACUCAAAUGAAUUGACGGGGGCCCGCAC
rnacentral:rRNA from 1 species